rnacentral:rRNA from 1 species
GUGUACCGGAAGGUGCACCUGGAAAGUCAGGAUAGAGCUUGAUUAGUUAAGCAUUUCAUUUACACUGAAAAUACACUGUGCAAUUCAGUUUAUUCUGAUAAAUUUUAACUUACUUUAGUUGUUAGUUGUUAAAAGUUUUUUUAAUUAAAUUAUUUUUAAUAGGUUAUGUUUGUGUAUAGAAUAUAGAUAAAAUUAUUUAAGUGGUAGGUUAAUUGUAUCGUGAGAGGUUGAUUGAAAUAGUUUGAAAAUAUAUUUUUAUAAAAGUAGAUUAAUGAUUGUACCUUGUGUAUCAGGGUUUAUUAAAAAAAUUGCAAAUAUUUGUAUUUUCCCGAUUUGAAGAGAGCUAAAUAAAUGUGUUAGUUAAUGUGGAAUAAUUAUUAAUAACAUUUAUUUAGUAAUGAAACGUUAUCCGUUCUUUAAGAUAUCUGGUUUUCCGAGAAAUGAAUUUAAUUCAGGUUUAAAAAAGUGUAAUUUAAUUUAUUAAAUAAAUCAUUUUUUUAAGCUAAUGCCCUGGGGGAUAAGCUUUAGGGUAGGUUUUAUAAUUAGUGAAAUUUUAAAAGAUUUAGUAGGCUUAGAAUUAGCCAUCUAUUAAAGGAUGUUAUAAUUUAAUUUUUUGUAAGUUUAAUUUUCUAAGAAUUUAAGUUUUAUAUCGGAGCAAUGUAACUAAUUUUUAGUUACUUGAGAUAAUGAUAAAAUUAGUAUAAAAAUUGUUUAAAUUAUUAAAAAAAAUGUGAGGUUACAUUAAGGAAUUAGGCAAAUUAGUACUCGCCUGUUUAACAAAAACAUGUCUUCUUGAUUAUAAUUUGAAGUCUGACCUGCCCACUGAAUUUUAUAUUUGAAGGGCCGCGGUAUUUUGACCGUGCAAAGGUAGCAUAAUCAUUAGUCUUUUAAUUGAAGGCUAGAAUGAAUGGUUGGACGAGGUACUGACUGUCUCGGUGUGAUUGAUAUUAGAAUUUAACUUUUAAGUUAAAAGGCUUAAAUAUAUUAAA